UGCCACAAUGAUGAGUUAUAUUUGCUACUCUCGACUGUAAGAAUGACGAGAAUUAUUACCACCAUUAUCCUAACUGAGGCA